GGCCCGCCGGACUCCAGGCGACCUCUCAGCUGGAAGCGUUUGCUUUUCAUUACCCGCUCUUUUCCGAAAUCACUCCUGUGGGGUGCAGGUGCAUCGUGUGGGUACCGGAACAACAACGAUGUCUGAGAACUUAGGCUGAGGUUCCGCUCUGGGAGUUCAUAGAUGCAAUGAUGGACAAAAUCAUGUUUACUGUGAUCCUGCCUGACCCACUGAGAUCUUCCAGCGAUGUGCGUGUGUGUGCUCCUUUGUUGAAGAUGGUCGCGAUUAGAGAAUUUCUGAUGUUUCCUGUUGCAUGCUCCUUUGAGGAUUCAUGACUGGAGAUCUUCAUGGAGAUAUCUUUUUGUUCCAGGCCUUGUCAACUUGAAGUUGUCUAUGACACUGGAGAGGCCAAAUUUGGAAUAUUGUGCGCAGUUUUGGUCAUCUACCGACAGGAAAGAUGUAAAUAAGGUUGGAAAAGUACAAAGAAAAUUUACAAAGUUGUUGCCGGGUAUAUAGGACCUGAGUUACAGUACCUAUAGAAAGUAUUCACUCCUCUUUGAAGUUUUCAUGUUUUAUUGUUUUACAUCAAUGAAUCACAGUGGAUUUAAUUUGGCUUUUUUGACACCGAUCAACAGAAGAGUCUCUUUUGUGUCCAAGUGAAAACAAAUUUCUACAGAUUGGUCUAAGUUAUUACAAUUAUUGAACACAAAAUAAUUGAUUCCAUAAUUACUCAUCCCCUUCUAGUCAGCGUUUAAUAGAUGCACCUUUGGUAGCAAUUACAGCCUCAGAGUCUGUGUGUAAAGGUCUCGGCAAUAGAGUUAUCGGGACACCAUCAUGACGGUGUUUCCUUAGCAAGCUAUUCUUGUUUUUACGAGGCCGAAUUGCUAGCUCAACGCUCAAUGCGAGUUGGAUUCAAACUCGGGAACCUUCGCUCUGGAGUCUAGUGCUGAUAUUAUUGCACCACCAAGCCGGAUUACAUCUGAGGAAUUUACUUUGAGAGGGGAAAGAUCCGGUUGUCAUGAUCCAUGUGGGUACCAACGAUAUAGGCAGAGUGAAGAAAGAGCUUCUGCUGAAGGAAUUUGAGCAGCUAGAGACUAAAUUAAGAAAGCAAAACCAAAGCCACGUGCAGAUUGGCAUAGGGUCAAGAAGAUGAGAGAGUUAAAUGCAUGGCUCGAUUGGUGUGUGAGAAGAGGAUUUGAGCUCUUGUGAAAUUGGCACCAGUAUUGGGGAAGAAGGGAGCUGUUCCAAUGGGACGGGCUCCACCUGAACCGUGCUGGGACCUGGAUCCUAGUGAAUCACAAGACUAGCUCAGCCGUCUCUCUCCUUCUGGAGAGACACAUGCUACGUUGCUUUUUUAAAAAAAAAAACUUGUACAUCUCACUGCGCUUCUGAAGAAAAAUAUGCUGUGGUUCAACAGGUAAUCGUUCAAUUGUUGUCUGGCAUUCUGAGGAUCAUCCUUAAAAUCUAAAGUAAAAACUUUUGCAUUGUAAAACUUCUGGGUUUCAUUUAGAAACCUUGGCAAUACAUCAAAUCCCUUUUGAAUAU